AGUGAACGCUGGCGGUAGGCCUAACACAUGCAAGUCGAACGGCAGCACAGUAAGAGCUUGCUCUUACGGGUGGCGAGUGGCGGACGGGUGAGGAAUACAUCGGAAUCUACUUUUUCGUGGGGGAUAACGUAGGGAAACUUACGCUAAUACCGCAUACGACCUACGGGUGAAAGCAGGGGAUCUUCGGACCUUGCGCGAUUGAAUGAGCUGAUGUCGGAUUAGCUAGUUGGCGGGGUAAAGGCCCACCAAGGCGACGAUCCGUAGCUGGUCUGAGAGGAUGAUCAGCCACACUGGAACUGAGACACGGUCCAGACUCCUACGGGAGGCAGCAGUGGGGAAUAUUGGACAAUGGGCGCAAGCCUGAUCCAACCAUACCGCGUGGGUGAAGAAGGCCUUCGGGUUGUAAAGCCCUUUUGUUGGGAAAGAAAAGCAGCAGGUUAAUACCCCGCUGUUCUGACGGUACCCAAAGAAUAAGCACCGGCUAACUUCGUG
rnacentral:rRNA from 1 species